rnacentral:rRNA from 1 species
CAGGUUUACCUGUGUGACUGCGUACCUUUUGUAUAAUGGGUCAGCGACUUAUAUUCUGUAGCAAGGUUAACCGUAUAGGGGAGCCGGAGGGAAACCGAGUCUUAACCGGGCGUUAAGUUGCAGGGUAUAGACCCGAAACCCGGUGAUCUAGCCAUGGGCAGGUUGAAGGUUGGGUAACACUAACUGGAGGACCGAACCGACUAAUGUUGAAAAAUUAGCGGAUGACCUGUGGCUGGGGGUGAAAGGCCAAUCAAACCGGGAGAUAGCUGGUUCUCCCCGAAAGCUAUUUAGGUAGCGCCUCGUGAAUUCAUCUCCGGGGGUAGAGCACUGUUUCGGCUAGGGGGCCAUCCCGGCUUACCAACCCGAUGCAAACUGCGAAUACCGGAGAAUGUUAUCACGGGAGACACACGGCGGGUGCUAACGUCCGUCGUGAAGAGGGAAACAACCCAGACCGCCAGCUAAGGUCCCAAAGUCAUGGUUAAGUGGGAAACGAUGUGGGAAGGCCCAGACAGCCAGGAUGUUGGCUUAGAAGCAGCCAUCAUUUAAAGAAAGCGUAAUAGCUCACUGGUCGAGUCGGCCUGCGCGGAAGAUGUAACGGGGCUAAACCAUGCACCGAAGCUGCGGCAGCGAACGUAUCACUUAAAGCGAUUCAGCGG